AGCGUUGUCCGGAUUUAUUGGGCGUAAAGAGCGUGUAGGCGGCCUGAAAGGUCAGCUGUGAAAACUCGAGGCUCAACCUCGAGACGUCGGUUGAAACCAUCUGGCUAGAGUCCGGAAGAGGAGUGUGGAAUUCCCGGUGUAGCGGUGAAAUGCGCAGAUAUCGGGAAGAACACCCGUGGCGAAGGCGGCACUCUGGGACGGUACUGACGCUGAGACGCGAAAGCGUGGGGAGCGAACAGG
rnacentral:rRNA from 1 species